rnacentral:tRNA from 1 species
UUAAUAGUGGCAGAUUAAAUGCAUAGAUUUUAAGCAUCUAAGAUAAGUAAAAUACUUCUAUUAAA